rnacentral:sRNA from 1 species
GCCAGGCGCAGUGACGUAUGCCUGUAAUCCCUGUGACUUGGAGGCUUAGGCAGGAGGACUACCAGUUCAAACCAGCCUGGG